UACGUAGGUGGCAAGCGUUGUCCGGAUUUACUGGGCGUAAAGAGCGCGCAGGCGGUCGUUCAAGUCGCGUGUGAAAGCCCCCGGCUCAACUGGGGAGGGUCACGCGAUACUGAUCGACUCGAAGGCAGGAGAGGGUAGUGGAAUUCCCGGUGUAGUGGUGAAAUGCGUAGAUAUCGGGAGGAACACCAGUGGCGAAGGCGACUACCUGGCCUGUUCUUGACGCUGAGGCGCUAAAGCUAGGGGAGCAAACGGG
rnacentral:rRNA from 1 species